rnacentral:rRNA from 1 species
CGCCAGCAGCCGCGGUAAGACGGAGGGUGCUAACGUUGCUCGGAAUUACUGGGCGUAAAGCGCGUGUAGGCGGGACGGCAAGCGAGAUGUGAAAUCCCUUGGCUUAACUGAGGAAGUGCAUUUCGAACUGCCGACCUUGAGUGCGGGAGAGGGAGGUAGAAUUCCCGGUGUAGAGGUGAAAUUCGUAGAUAUCGGGAGGAAUACCGGUGGCGAAGGCGGCCUCCUGGACCGACACUGACGCUGAGACGCGAAAGCGUGGGGAGCAAACAGGAUUAGAUACCCUGGUAGUCCACGCUGUAAACGAUGGGCACUAGGUGUCGCGGGUAUUGACCCCUGCGGUGCCGAAGCUAACGCGUUAAGUGCCCCGCCUGGGGAGUACGGCCGCAAGGCUAAAACUUAAAGGAAUUGGCGGGGGAU